GAAACAGAAGCAAGAAAGACAUGUUCUCUAUGGUGUGCAGCAACACCGGGUCGUAGUAGGUAUCAAGUGGUUGAAUGUUUGUCAACUGCUUGGAGAAGGGACUUAUCAACUUCAGCAGUCAUGGGUGACAGAUGGACACAAAUUCCAGAUGAAAUGAGAUGUCCAGUUCAUGAUAUACAAUGGAUAAAAUUAACUUGAAAGAUAUGGGAUGUGGACAGAAGAUAGAAGUUUUCAGCUAAAGUCUGGGUGAAGGCAUUUUCCAACAUUAGAGGGUUGUGGAACUUCACCAUUGAUUCACCAAGGCCCAGACAUUAUACAAGAAGACUGGGUAUGCUAGACUGUUGGAACUAGUGUUACAAAAAAAAUCUGGUAUUGGAUUGGACAGGAAUGGCAUUCUCUAGCAUUGGUUGUGUUGGACAUUAUUCUAUGUGUAUAGGUGUGUCUUCCACCAUCACUUGAACAGUGUUUGUGAUUAAACUAAGAAUCCAGUGUGGUGUAAUGUUGUAUCUGCCUUGAAAGCUCCAGAGAAGAAAGUUGGAAGGAUGCCCAUUAUGUAAGGGCAGAAAAAUUGGUGUUUGUGGAAUGUUUUGUCUGCUUUGAAAGCCCCUGAGAAGAAAGUUGGAAGGACCCAUUAUAUAAGAGCAGAAAAUGGUUGGUUCGUCCCAGGAAAAAGAGUUAACAAUUUGGCAUGGCUAAGGCAGAUUCCUGCAGUUUCAUCACAGCACUGCAUCUGUUUAGGGGUUUGUGAGUAAACUGAGCAGCAAGUCUACAGUGUGGUGAAAUUUCUGCUUUGAAAGCUCCUAAGAAAGUUGGAAGGACCCAUUAUAUAAGUGCAGAAAAUGGUUGGUUCAUUCCGGAGAUGAUGAUGUUAACAAUUCGGCAUGGCUGAGGUUGCCUUCUGCAGUUUCAUCACAACACUGUCUGUGUUUAGAUUUUGUACCUUGUUUUGGAUGCAAGAUUGUCUGGCCUAUUGAGCAGAGGUACUUUAUUCCUCAAGUCUCCCGCUUCAAGCAGUUGCUGGUACUUGUUACUUAAAUGGAUCAACUUGGUUUUAUGAAAGAUGCUGUUCAGGAGUGUAAAUCUGUUUAAUUUCUCAUUACCUGUACUGCAUUGUUACUGUCACAAAGGAGAAUAAAUGAAGUAAACCUG
rnacentral:lncRNA from 1 species